rnacentral:miRNA from 1 species
AGUAUUUAGGUACAGAGGGAG